rnacentral:rRNA from 1 species
UAUGGGUUGUAAACUCCUUUUCUCAGAGAAGAAAUUUUGACGGUAUCUGAGGAAUAAGCAUCGGCUAACUCCGUGCCAGCAGCCGCGGUAAGACGGGGGAUGCAAGUGUUAUCCGGAAUAAUUGGGCGUAAAGCGUCUGUAGGUGGUUUACCAAGUCUGUUGUUAAAAAUCAGGGCUUAACCCUGAUCCGGCAACAGAAACUAGUAGGCUGGAGUACGGUAGGGGCAGAGGGAAUUCUCGGUGUAGUGGUGAAAUACGUAGAUAUCGAGAAGAACACCAAUAGCGAAAGCACUCUGCUGGGCCGAAACUGACAUUGAGAGACGAAAGCUAGGGG